rnacentral:rRNA from 1 species
GGGGGGAGCAAGCGUUGUUCGGAUUUACUGGGCGUAAAGGGCGCGUAGGCGGCCACCGCAAGUCGACUGUGAAAUCUCCGGGCUUAACUCGGAAAGGUCAGCCGAUACUGCGGGGCUAGAGUGCAGAAGGGGCAACUGGAAUUCUCGGUGUAGCGGUGAAAUGCGUAGAUAUCGAGAGGAACACCUGCGGCGAAGGCGGGUUGCUGGGCUGACACUGACGCUGAUGCGCGAAAGCUAGGGGAGCGAACGGGAUUAGAUACCCCGGUAGUCCUAGCCUUAAACGAUGGAUGCUUGGUGUCUGGGGUUUUAUAGUCCCCGGGUGCCGUCGCUAACGCUUUAAGCAUCCCGCCUGGGGAGUACGGUCGCAAGACUGAA